rnacentral:rRNA from 1 species
GACAGAGGGGGCAAGCGUUGCUCGGAAUUACUGGGCGUAAAGGGCGCGUAGGCGGGAUGGCAAGUCGGUCGUGAAAUCCCUCGGCUCAACCGAGGAACGUCGAUCGAUACUGCUGUUCUUGAGGAUUGCAGAGGAGACUGGAAUUCCCGGUGUAGCGGUGAAAUGUGUAGAGAUCGGGAGGAACACCGAUGGCGAAGGCAGGUCUCUGGGCCACUACUGACGCUGAGAAGCGAAAGCAUGGGGAGCGAACAGG